rnacentral:rRNA from 1 species
UACGUAGGGGGCAAGCGUUGUUCGGAAUUACUGGGCGUAAAGGGCGCGUAGGCGGUGAUCACAGUCAGGCGUGAAAUUCCUGGGCUUAACCUGGGGGCUGCGUUUGAUACGUGGUUGCUAGAGUGGGGAAGAGGGUCGUGGAAUUCCCAGUGUAGAGGUGAAAUUCGUAGAUAUUGGGAAGAACACCGGUGGCGAAGGCGGCGACCUGGUCCGUUGACUGACGCUGAGGCGCGAAAGCGUGGGAGCAAACAGG